AGAAUGUGCAACCAAAGCCAAAGCUUUCUUUGGACCAAUGCCGAAGCACUCCCUUGAAGAAUCAACAAGCACUUGUGCUAAUUCGUUCAAGACUUUGUUACAAGCUCAAAACUUGUAACGACUUUCGAUUCAAGAUCAAGCCGCCAAGACCCUUGAAACAAUGAAAUCCUACUUCAACACUACCCUUGCCGCAACCCUAAACCUGAGGUGAAGACUAUCCAAGCAUUGUGUAAAGCUCAAAACUUGAAGCAAUCGUUUAAUCGUUUGUUAGAGAUCAAGUCAUUGCGACUGUUGGAUCAACAACCUACAUAUCUACAUCAAAUUUGAAAACUAAAUCAGAAGAAAAUUGUAAACUAAGAUUGUAACCUACAAAUUCAAAUCAAUACAAAUCUACUCUGUACACGUAUUCUCGUUUCAUUCGUCACAUAAUUCUUGUGUUUAAAGUUUAAAAAAUUAAAAUCAUCAAAAUAAAUUUUUUCUUGACGUGUCGAAAGAGGUUACUAGCAUGUCACCUCAUGUAAACUUGUUAAGGACCCGUUACUAAGGGGUUGUUAUCAAGUGACCUGAUAACGACCCGAUUAGUUAUCGUGUUGACCCGAAACCAUUAUUUUUGUGUUGUGUGAAUGGGUCGUGUAAGAAAUUUCCAGGUCUAAACUUAGGUAUCACAAACCUCACCUUGAAGGAACUCGGAGGAUUGUCUCACCUCCUAUUGAGGCUAUUGUUGCCAGAGCUAAGGAUUGGAAGCAUUGCUUGGUUGGUUAUGUGCUAGACAAACCCCUUUCUUUCUUUGUUGUUAGCACUAUCUCUAGAAAACUCUUACUAACAAAUGUGGUUUAUGUUUCUUUAAAGGGUUUUUAUCACAAAUGGUCCUUAAAAUUGACCCUUACUGAAAUUAAAAUCAAUCAAUGUAGCCCCUGAAAAUAGGUGUCACAAAUCAUGUGGUCCUUCUAUCACAAUUCUAUUAAAAAUUCUGUUAAGUGUUGAUGUGGCACAUAAAUGGGCCCUACAAGAUUUACAAGUUUUUAUCACAAAUGGUCCCUGAAAUUGACCCACACAAUCAAGAUGGUCCCUGAAAUUGAUCCACACCAUCAAUAUGGUCCCUGAAAUUGAAAAUCAAUCAUUGUAGUCCUUAAAAAUAGAGUAUCAAUAUGAUCCUUCCGCCACUAUUCUGUAAAAAAUUUUGUUAUGUGCUAAUGUGGGUUUAAUAAUUAAUUAAAAAAGUUGUCAAAAUGCCUUUUUGCACAAUGGAAUUGUUUUUUUCUUACAGCAAGGUCUACUCAGAAGAGAGAUAUCUUCCAUAAAUUCUCAAAGGCACAAGGCUUAACCAAGGCCUAAGAGGGGGUGUGGAAAUAUUUUACAACCAACAAUAGACGCACCUCGGUAAUAACCUCAUUAUCUCAAGGCAGAUCUUGCUGUUCUUUGCAUAACCAGACCACCAAGGAAAUGUCGAACAAGCUCUCCAAGAUUAAGGUUAUGAGGAUUUUGAUCGCCUAAAUGUUAACGGUGAAGUCCCAAAAGUUGUUGCGAAUGGGCCAAGCUGUCACCAAAGGUGAUCUUGAUCCAAGUUCUAUUCGGUGAAGGGUGUCGAAGUGUGUAAAGAUGCAUGUGUUAGUAUUUUUUUUAGAGAAUAGAAAGCGAAGAAAGUAGAGAAAUGUGGACUAGGAUCGGAGGUGAUUGCAAGAUUGGGUUUUGGGUUGACAAUUUUUUUUAUUCACUAUUAAAUUAUUAAACCUAUUUGUAAUUUUUUUUAAAUUUAAUUAGACUUGUGUGUCCCAUUUAUGUGUCACAUUAACAUAAUUUUUUGACAGAAUUGUAACAAAAUGACUAUAUAUUGAUUUGAGACACUAACUUGUGGGACUACAUUUAUUAGUUUUCAAUUUCAGGGACCCAUUUUGAUGUCGCUGGUCAAUUUCAGGGACCGUUUUUUGAUGUCGCUGGUCAAUUUCAGGGACCAUUUUGAUGUCG
rnacentral:lncRNA from 1 species